GUGUCCAAUGUCUCCUUCUCCGUUCAAUUCUUCAGUUAACUCUGAUACUUCAGGGGCUAAAAUGGUCAUUUCAUAAAAUUUUAAGAGAAAGAAAACACAAAAUCUCCCCAUCUGUUCCCCAGUCUCUCAGCUCUUCUUCUUCUUCUUAUGAUCUUCUUCUUCUUCUUCUCAUAGCAGUAACAUAGAAACCAAAGACCCAUCUCUAAUUUUUUCUCAAUUUUCACAUUCCUCACCCCAAAAUCAAAUCUUUGGAAUCACCCAUUUCACAAUGUCUACCGGAAUUGUGACCCGGUUCAAGGAAGUGGGCCAAUCGACGAUGGCGGCGCACCAGCUGUGGUCCGAAUUCACCGACUCGACCGCCCUCAGCCUCCCUUCAAGCCUCUUCGACGCCUCGACCCGAGUCUUCCAGAACUUGACCCGGUUCUUCUUCUUCUUCUUAUUCAGAUAAUCACAUGCCUAAACCAACAAUUUAUCGACGAGGUGGGAGCCGGCGCCACCGGUGACGACGAUCCUGAGCCUGCGCCUUGCCGGCGUUGUUGCGAAGGUCGGGGGAGAAGGAGCCUCCAAGGUUGCGUCGGUUUUCUGGAAGGAGAAUGAGCUAAACAUGGUUGAUACGCCGGGACAUGCAGACUUUGGUGGUGAAGUAUGCCACUAGAGUGACUAGACUGACUCAUUUAGUAUUGUUUUUCGAUUCAAUGCAAAUUUUAUGGAUUUUGAGUAAUCAUUUCAUUGGUUUUUCUGCAAUGGAUGGAUAUAGGUUGAGCGGGUUGUUGGUAUGGUUGAAGGGGCAGUUUUAGUUGUUGAUGCCGAGGAAGAUCUGCUAGCACAGACCAAGUUUGUGCUUGCCAAAGCCUUAAAAUACGGGCUGCGUCCUAUUCUUCUUCUAAACAAAGUAGAUCGGCCUGGCAGGUACUUAUUCUCGUCUUUAAUUUGCAAAAUGUGCAAAUUAAACAAUUGCAUGAAUAAUAUGAUAGUGGAAAGACUAAUUAAGGAAAACAUGUAGUGGACCUGUUUACCCAAAUCAUUGUAGCUCCAGCGUGCUGGGUGAAUUCCUUGAGUUGAAGAAGGGUUUGAGUUGCAUGAGAAGAUGAAGAUUAAUGGGGUUGUUCAUAACAUGCGUACUUAUACUUGUUUGAUCAGUGGUUGUUGCAUCGAUGAAAAAAUAGUGCCUUGACCCUGUUCGAUGAAAUGCGUGAGAAGAGGAAUGGCCUGCAAUGUGGUCACAGACAACAUCCUAAUUGGUGGGUUGUGUCGAGAAAUGAAGGUUUGGGAAGAUGACAUAUACAAUUGUAAUUGAUGCCUUGGUUUGAUCCAAUGACAUUGGGAAGAGCUUUUCAUGUG